rnacentral:rRNA from 1 species
GACAGGGGAUGCAAGCGUUAUCCGGAAUGAUUGGGCGUAAAGCGUCUGUAGGUGGCUUUUUAAGUCUGCCGUCAAAUCCCAGGGCUCAACCCUGGCCAGGCGGUGGAGACUACUAAGCUGGAGUACGGUAGGGGCAGAGGGAAUUUCCGGUGGAGCGGUGAAAUGCGUAGAUAUCGGAAGGAACACCAGUGGCGAAAGCGGCUUCCUGGUCCAGCACCGACGUUCAGGCACGAAAGCGUGGGGAGCAAACAGG